GUGAACAUCUAAAACCCUACUAAAAAGGCGAUUCUAUUAACUCCUCGUCGAAUUGUCUAAAAAUAAAAGAGUCCAUAAUGAUUAAUGAUUACACCACCGCCCGGAGCUACAAAUUAGCUUAAAUUAAAUAAAACUAUCGACAUAUCAUACCAUCAAUCAAUCAUUUUGUACAAAAACUAUAUCGAAAUAACUAGCUAUUACUAUCUUCGAUAAACACCCCAUUACAUAUCAUAACAAAGCAGUAGUAGUUAGUAGGUCUCUCUUCUUCCCUCCAUCCUUUCACUUCCCUUGCCGGCAAAGCAGAACCAUAAAUCCAAACCAUUUAGUUAUUCCUUCAUUUUCCAUUUCCUUUCCUACACCAGAAAAAAAAAACACAGAACUGUCAAAAAAGUUCUUCAUAAGAAUAAAAACAGAGCAACCCUCUGUUUCUUUCAUCCUCAGCCCCUCUCUUUCUCCUUUCUUCUUCUGGCUCUUUCAUUAGCUUCUACCAAAUGGGUUAUCUGUUCUUUGCCAAAAGAUUUGUUCUUUGAGUGGAAAAUUGAAUCAUUGUUACAGAGUUCUUACCAGAACAUCAAUGUCGUUCAAGUGGAGAACAGAGCAGCAGCAGUAUUCUCCCAGUAAGAGCUCUUCUUCUGUAUCUCAGAAAUGGACUGUUUUGCUCUGCCUGCUCUGCUUCUGCGCUGGAUUGCUCUUCACCGACAGGUAAUGAGCU
rnacentral:lncRNA from 1 species